GACGUAGGGCGCGAGCGUUGUCCGGAUUUAUUGGGCGUAAAGAGCUCGUAGGCGGUCUGUCACGUCGGCUGUGAAAUCCCGAGGCUCAACCUCGGGUCUGCAGUCGAUACGGGCAAACUAGAGUAUUGCAGGGGAGACUGGAAUUCCUGGUGUAGCGGUGAAAUGCGCAGAUAUCAAGAGGAACACCGGUGGCGAAGGCGGGUCUCUGGGCAAUAACUGACGCUGAGGAGCGAAAGCGUGGGGAGCGAACAGG
rnacentral:rRNA from 1 species